rnacentral:rRNA from 1 species
UACGUAGGGUGCAAGCGUUAAUCGGAAUUAUUGGGCGUAAAGCGUGCGCAGGCGGUUGUGCAAGACAGAUGUGAAAUCCCCGGGCUUAACCUGGGAAUUGCAUUUGUGACUGUACGGCUAGAGUGUGUCAGAGGGGGGUAGAAUUCCACGUGUAGCAGUGAAAUGCGUAGAGAUGUGGAGGAAUACCGAUGGCGAAGGCAGCCCCCUGGGAUAACACUGACGCUCAUGCACGAAAGCGUGGGGAGCAAACAGG